GAGAGAGAGAGAGAGAGACACUGCCUAUUGCUACACUCUUUUCCCACACUCAGAUCAUAACAUAGAUAGAGUCCAGGGGGAAAUGUAGUUUUAAUUAAGGGAUAAAAUCAGGGUCUGUGUGCUUAGGGUGGGUGGGUUUAAAGUGCUAUGUGAGUUCAAAGUUCACAGUUCAGUUACCCACCCCUCCCCAAAAAAAGUGCAGUAGUUUUUUAAAUGCAAGAUGGCGACGAGGCAGUAAGAGGAGGAGGUACUGACACAGGCUGAGUGGGAGAGAGGCAGAGAGCAGCACUUCAAGAUUUUCAACUCUUCCCCAGAUCAGGAUGCACAGUAAUAGAGAUCCAAAACAGCGUCAAUAAACCACAUACUUUGAAAAGGUGCUGGGCCUCUGAAAGGGGUUGGAACACCUACAGUAGUGAACACUAACUGAUUGUAAGAGGAAAAUGAACUUUUCUGCUUUUUCGAUUCCCAAUUGGUUUCUCAACUUUGAAUCACCUAGUCAUUGAACUGAACUACUUGAAUAAACUGAAAUGAAGAAAAUGUUCGUUCUGUGCCUGCAGAAGAGGCUACUCCUGUCAAAAGCUGGUUUAGCACUUCGAACACCAGUCACAAGUGCUUAGCCAGUGACUUCCACCAGUGCAGUGGUUUGACUUCAAAAUUUCACCAGCAAACAGAACUGCUUGCACAAAGAAGCAUGUUGUUUUCCUGGUAAAAAGGCUAGAGGGAUGACAUAGUAUGUUUUAAAUUUAGGCACCACAAAUCAAAAUAGAGACUUCUGCACUCACUGACACCAUCUACCACUUGAGAAUUGGUCGGUAUGUUGCUGAAGACAUUGUCCUUCCAGUUGAGGUCUGCUAAAUACUAUUCCCUUUGUAAUGCUAUCUGAAACAGCCAAGAUGGAUUGUUGCUCCGUGGUGUUCUCUGAGUACUCUGCCACCUUGGAAGCUAAGGACCACAUUCAAGAGUCAGACUCUAAUCCUCUGGCUGUAAACUCGUGUGUCUGAGGAUUUUCUUGUGUAGAAGCUAACAUUUGACUGUAUUUCAAGGAGAAAACAAUUAAAGAGAUUACAACUCUCUGCAGAAGUUUGUGGGACACUUUCCUAUGCACUGUGCCCACAGGAUGAAACUCAAUCCUUUGGCACCUUUUAGGAAUACAGUAUAUGAAAUUGCUCUCUUCCUUAAAUCUAUGUAAAUCUGCAUAAUUUGGUAUAUUUUUAAUUGUAGAUAUAUUUUGUAUCUGUUCAUUCUUUCUCGUCUGAGAAAUAGACAGGGAUCUCUGUGCCUGAAGUGCAUAAUUUUGGUGGUGGAAAUGGACUUUAAGAAGCUGUGACUCAACAUUUCAUCCUUGAACUACAACGUUUUUUUUAAUCUGAUUGCACUACAAAAAAGCUGCUAAUGGGAUAAAUGCUGACAAGUUUCAAGAAUUGACUUGAAGUACCAAAAGCCAUUGUUGAAAAUCAAGAAGUGCUUGAACCUACAUCAGUAUCAUUCAGUCAAUAUUAUUUCCUCACAACAACAGAAUGGCAAGUAAACGAAAAUCAACUACCCCAUGCAUGGUCCUAGCAAGCGAGCAGGAUCCAGACUUAGAAAUGAUAUCAGAUUUGGAUGAAGGACCUCCUCUACUUACACCAGCAGAGAAUGCUACAGCUGAGAGUAUAUCAAGUGAUGAAGACGUUCAAGAAUAUAUGGAUUCAGACAAUCAGCAAAAUAAAAAAGUUGAAGGUGGCUAUGAAUGUAAAUACUGUACAUUUCAGACACCAGAUCUAAAUAUGUUUACUUUUCAUGUUGAUUCAGAACACCCUAAUGUAGUAUUAAAUUCAUCCUAUGUCUGCGUGGAAUGCAAUUUUCUUACCAAAAGGUAUGAUGCUCUUUCUGAGCACAAUCUGAAGUACCACCCCGGAGAAGAGAAUUUUAAACUGACCAUGGUGAAACGUAAUAAUCAGACAAUCUUUGAGCAAACAGUGAACGAUCUCACUUUUGAUGGGAGUUUUGUGAAAGAGGAGAAUGCUGAGCAAUCCAACAUCUCAGAGAUCCCCUCAUCAGGAAUCUCAAUUAGCAAAACCCCUAUUAUGAAAAUGAAAAACAAAACGGAGACUAAACGAAUUGCUGUUUUCCACAAUGUAGCUGAAGACAUUCCUGGUGAAGAAAAGGAAACUGAAAAUGAGCCAGACUGUGAGGAAGUAGUUGAAACCCCACAAUCGGCAGUUUCCGAGUCCAAAAUGAACAAUCCAGCUGCUUGCAGUGCAGCAGAUACAACUAGCACCGUAAUGACUCCAGCGCCAGUGAUUCAACCUGGGGUGGCACAGGUAAUAACUACUGUCACAGCUCCACAGAACUCUAACUUGAUUCCAAAAGUCUUAAUACCUGUAAACAGCAUUCCAACCUACAACACUUCUUUGGAUAACAAUCCUCUUCUGCUCAACACCUAUAAAAAAUUUCCCUAUCCAACUAUGUCAGAAAUCACCGUUCUCUCUGCUCAAGCUAAAUAUACUGAGGAACAGAUUAAAAUAUGGUUUUCUGCCCAACGUCUGAAACAUGGUGUGAGCUGGACCCCAGAGGAAGUGGAAGAAGCGAGGAGGAAGCAAUUUAAUGGCACUGUGCAUACUGUACCACAGACAAUUACGGUUAUUCCAGCACACAUUUCAGCAGCUGGCAAUGGUUUGCCAUCCAUCUUGCAGACAUGCCAAAUAGUUGGUCAACCAGGUCUUGUCCUCACUCAAGUCGCAGGUACAAACACUUUGCCAGUAACAGCCCCUAUAGCUCUGACAGUAGCGGGAGUCCCAAAUCAGACACAGUUACAGAAGAGCCAGAUCCAUACCACCCAGCCUGUUGCAGAAACCAAGCAAGUAGCUGCCAUUCCAGCCCCUCAGCUUAUCAAACACGAAACCACAUUAGUAAAUCCGGAUUCAUUCGGCAUCCGUGCAAAGAAGACGAAAGAACAGUUGGCAGAAUUAAAAGUCAGCUACCUUAAAAAUCAGUUUCCUCAUGAUUCAGAGAUUAUUAGGCUCAUGAAAAUAACGGGCCUGACCAAAGGAGAAAUCAAAAAGUGGUUCAGUGAUACACGAUACAACCAGAGAAACUCAAAAAAUAAUCAUGGCAUUCAUCUCAACAACGAUUCUUCCACCACCAUUAUUAUUGAUUCAAGUGAUGAAACAAAUGAGUCCCCAACGGUAGUCACGCCACAGCAUAAGCAGUCGUGGAAUGCUUUCCCUGAUUUCACCCCACAGAAAUUCAAAGAAAAGACUGCUGAACAGUUGCACAACCUCCAAGCAAGUUUUCUCAAUAACCCUGUCCUGACAGACGAAGAACUGAAUAGGUUAAGGGCACAGACUAAACUGACCAGAAGAGAGAUCAAUGCCUGGUUUACAGAGAGAAAGAAAACAAAUGCUUUAAAGGAAGAAGAAGCUGAGUUAAAAGAGAGCAAUGCAAGCGGCUCAAAAGAUGAGGCUGGAGAAACUUCUCAGGGAGAGGGAUCUGUAUGGCUAAGAUCAGGGGGUUCUGCAAGCAAGGUGGGUAAAAAGUCACCAGAGCAGUUACAUAUGCUUAAAAGUUCAUUUGUCCGUACUCAGUGGCCAUCCCCACAAGAAUACGACAAACUGGCAGAAGAAACUGGCCUUCCGAGAUCGGACAUUGUUAGCUGGUUUGGAGAUACUCGCUAUGCCUGGAAAAAUGGUGGUUUGAAAUGGUACUAUUACUACCAGGGUUCCAGUGGGAAUUGUAUGAAUGGUCAAGCCUUUGUCAGAAGGAGGGGGAGAGGGAGACCGAAAGGAAGGGGAAGAGGAAGGCCUCGUGGGCGGCCUCGGGGAAGCAAAAGGAUAAACAACUGGGACAGAGGAUCCUCCGUCAUCAAAUUCAAAACUGGAACAGCAAUCCUUAAGGAUUAUUAUAUGAAGCACAAAUUCCUCAAUGAGCAAGACCUUGAUGAACUUGUAGCCAGAUCUCACAUGGGAUAUGAGCAGGUCAGAGAGUGGUUUGCAGAAAGGCAAAGAAGAUCAGAACUAGGCAUAGAGCUGUUUGAGGAGAAUGAGGAUGAAGAAGAAAUGCUGGAUGAUCAGGAAGAGGAGGAAGAAACGGAUGAUAGUGACACUUGGGAACCCCCCCGACAUGUUAAGCGUAAACUCUCGAAAUCAGAUUGACAUGUAAGUUUGGGGCUUGGGGCAAAAAACCCAUAAAUUCUAUUUGACAUUAUUGUGAAGAGCCAAAUAGUUUUUAAAGGCUUUCCGUUUUAGUGAACACCUUCCUAGCACGUUCCCUCCACCUGAGAGAGUGGACAAGAUACUACCUGUGCAGCCACCAAAUAUUUGCUUCCUGGCUAGCAGUGAUGGACAUGCUCCGUGUUAGCCCAGGGUUUGGAACUAUAAAUCCAACCCAAAUUCUGCUCCUGCUCCUCCUCCUCCUCCUCCACAUCACUGCUGAGGGCUCAUCAUUUAAGUGACUAUUUAUAAAUAUUUAAUUGCCUUGUGUUUAAUUCCAAAAAAACACAGCUGCAUUUUUCAUUGUUAUAGGAGAACAUUACCCACUCUUGGAGGAGGAAAAUACAAAAACCUAAUAUGUCUUUUUGCAAACCUCGCUUUACCUCCUAAGGCUUCAGAGCUUGGGGUGUUUGUUUUUUUUAAAGGAAAGAAUUCAAAAACAGAAAAGAAGGGGAAAAGUAUGACAAAGGAAUCAAUAACCACAGGGCUGCCCAAAGUGGUGAAGGGGAAGCAAGAUAUCUGGUUUACUGUGAAUGGGCCUAAUCUUUCGUGAAACCAAGAAAAUUUUGAGACACACACAGGAUUGAAUACUCAAAAGGAUUGGAACUUAGUGUUGUGCCAAAGUUAAACUACUGCAGCUGGCAGAAGUUCUGCACUGUAAAUAGAAGACUGAUUAAAAGACUACUUGUAAAACAAAUUUUAAUACAGUACAUUUUUAUUCUGAUACAUGAUGGAAACUUUCUGUUUUAGACCUUUUUUUGAAGGGGCUUCAGUGACCACUAGAUUUUGUCCUCUAUUUUGUCCAGCUUAAUACUGUACGUUCUAGUAAGAUGGGCUUUAUUGCCUGUGUUCUUUGAUAUGUGAUUAAGCUUAUAGCUUUGAGUGACCAAACAUUUUACAGAGUAAAAGUUCUUAGAAAAAGUAAACGUAACUGAUAUUUGUGUCUUAUUUAUCAGGCUCUGCACAAACUUUGAAAGUUGUGCAUGCACUUGUACAACUUACACAUACAAUUGGGAAUGCAUGGGAUUCUUCUCAAUAUUACAAAACUAAGCCUUUGUGGCAUUAUGGAUCAUUAUGGAUCUUGUCUUUGGAAUUCUUUUUUUUUUAAGAUAUAUGAAUGAGUGCCACUGUUAAAUAUUUGUAAUAUUUCCAUUCCUACUUUCAAUAGAGGCCUAUUUUGCUUUAACACCUGAAGAAAAUAACGAGAGAGAGAAAAUAAAAAGAAGCUGUCAGAAGAAUGAAUACUGAGGGAACCACUGAACAUAAACUUUGUACCAAAAAUUUGAAAACAGAAAUAAUGUACUAUGUCCUUACUGAGUGAGUGUGUGUGUUUAUAAGGAUUAUGCAGAAACUAGGAACUGUCUUUGUUCAAAUAUUUAGCAGUCCAGAGCUUUUCUAGCAUCAUUCUCUCUGUUCAUUGUUAACAACGUUGCCAUGUCAGGAGGCCUGAACAUUCAUGUAAACUCUUUCUGUUAAGGCAGAUGCUCUUCAUUCAUAUUUUUAAAAUAAUUUUGAGAGGAUAUUUUUAAAGAUGACAAAGGGGAUUAGGCACCCAAUUCCCCCUGAAAGUCAUUGGGAGCUGAGCACCUAAAUCCCCUUUGUGCCUUUUGAAAAAUCUCCAUUUGUGGCUACAGGACCAUUUUUUAAAUGUGCUUUUUCUUCAGAGAAAUUUUUUUGAAAUGAGCAUGUUCCAUUUAAAGCCCAGCUCAUGUGCAAAUAACUGCAGAGAAAAUCCUGCUCGCCUUCAUUCACACAAACUCCCAGUUGGAGCCAGUAUGUGAGCUUUGCAUGAAUAAGACUAAGGGCUUGUCUACAUGCACAAAUCGUAAUAUUUUGACUAUACUAGUAUACUUUAAGCGGAACAACUCCCUAGCGUGGAUACACUAAUACCUAUAUAAGGGUGGUUUACACUGGUAUAGCUAUUCCCAUACAGGAAGAGGAAUAAGCUACACCGGUGUAAAAUCAACCCGAUUAUUGAUAGUUAUACCAGUCCAAAAACUAUAGACAGGCCCAGGAAUUAUUAGCUCCCUACUCUGCGCAAUCUGUUCUACACAACUCAUAGAAUGAUACAUCGUAAAGAAUGUUUUUUACUGAAGCAUUUGUCAGCUAACAAAAGAGAUACAGAGGAGCCUUGAAUAUGCAUGCUGCUUUCAUUUUUAUAAAUGGUUACCUUUUUUAACUACAGCUUUAUUAGUAAUUCCAAAAUACUGCGAUUUAGUUGAUAUUUUCGCAACAGACCAGCUGGCUUUGUGAGUUGGUGUCUUUUUUUUUUUUUAUUUCUUUUUCAUACUGCUGUCAACUACUAUUUUUUUAAUAAUGUAAAAUAUGCAGAAAUUUUGUGCGCUACUUUUAUUUUUCUUUUUUACUCCAUAGAGCACUCAGAAGUAUAAUGUUAAAUUGCUGUUUGGGGUAUUUUUUUGUUUUGUUUGUUUGUUCUUUUUUUCAGCAUUGCUGAUUGUGGUCUUUGAUCCAUUUGACAGUAGUUUCUUAACAUUUUCAGCUGUUGAACAGAUUUGUUGUGCUUCAGGUAUUGUAAAAUGAAGCCUUUGAAUAUAUUUAUAUUAUCUGUUUUCACUGCAAUAAUGUUUAACCAUCUAUAGUUGUAAAUAAUUCUUACCAGUGUGUUUCCUUACAGGCUUAAUGCUGAUCUGAUGUUUGCUAGCUUACAAUAUUUAUUUGACAGAGAAGAAGGAAAAAAAAAAAUCUGUCUCACCCAGCUGAUUUGUGUUUUUGAGUGCAUAAUAAAGGUCAGCAUUCAG